GUGGACCAAAGCAUUGUGGGAAAGACGCGUAGCUGGCAAUGGUGACGGCUGAUGGCGUGAACACCACAGCUGAAAUUGGCCGAAUAUCUCAUACAGCGAAUGGCAUGAUAAAUGAUAUUUCAAAGAACAAUGGUGCUUAAGGAAGCCCUCGUCCACCGCCUGUGAAGAAAGCCGACAUAUGUUCGAGGGUUGCCGCCAACAUCAGGAAAAGUGGCGUUCAGUGUCAAUGGACGCUUGUGCGAAUUUUAUUCUCCAGAGUAGGCGAACAAGUGGAGCUCGUUGUGUCUCAGGGUGGUCCAGCGGUUUGAAGUGUGGGAUUGUUUUUUAACUGAAGAAACGACAAGAUGUCGACCAGCAGUCCCGAAGCGGUGAAGAAAUUGCUGGAGAACAUGCAGACGGACCUGCGCUCCCUUUCCAUGGAGUGCAAGAAGAAAUUCCCCCCAGUCAAAGAGGCCGCAGAGUCGGGCAUUGUGAAGAUAAAGACGAUCGCUGCAAGGAAUACAGAAGUUCUCGCAGCUCUGAAGGAGAACAGCUCGGAGGUGGUGCAGCCCUUCCUCAUGGGGUGUGGCACCAAGGAGCCCAAGAUCACCCAGCUGUGCCUGGCCGCAAUCCAGAGGCUGAUGACCCACGAGGUGGUCUCCGAGGCGGCAGCGGGGAACAUCAUCAACAUGCUGUGGCAGCUGAUGGAGAACGGCCUGGAGGAGCUGAAGCUGCUACAGACGGUCCUGGUUCUUCUCACCACCAACACCGUGGUGCAUGACGAGAUCCUGUCCAAGGCCAUUGUUCUGUGUUUCCGGCUACACUUCACCAAGGACACCAUCACCAACAACACGGCGGCCGCCACCGUCCGGCAGGUGGUCACGGUGGUCUUCGAGAGGAUGGUCGCCGAGGACGACCGGUUCAAAGGUAUCAUGGAGCAGCCCCCACCCAUCCAGGGCAACACCAACAGGCGGUCUGUCAGCACUCUCAGGCCCAGUGCGAAGGACGCCUACAUGCUGUUCCAGGACCUGUGCCAGCUAGUGAACGCAGACGCCCCCUACUGGCUGGUGGGCAUGACGGAGAUGACCCGGACCUUCGGCCUGGAGCUGCUGGAGUCAGUCCUCAACGACUUCCCCGGAGUCUUCCUACAGCACCAGGAGUUCAGCUUCCUGCUGAAGGAGCGCGUCUGCCCCCUGGUCAUCAAGCUGUUCUCCCCCAACAUCAAGUUCCGUCAGGGCAGCAGCAGCGGCGGCGGCGGCGGCGGCGGCGGCGGGGGCAGCUCGGCCACACCGCCCCCCGUGGAGAAGCCCUACUUCCCCAUCUGCAUGAGGCUGCUGCGCGUGGUCUCGGUCCUCAUCAAGCACUUCUACAGCCUGCUGGUGACAGAGUGUGAGAUCUUCCUGUCUCUGCUGGUGAAGUUCCUGGACGGAGAGAAGCCCCAGUGGCUCAGAGCGGUGGCCGUCGAGUCGGUGCACAGACUGUGUGUUCAUCCACAUCUGCUACGGUCCUUCUGCCAGUCGUACGACAUGAAGCCCCACUCCACCAAGGUGUUCAGGGACAUCGUCAACGCCCUGGGCUCCUUCAUCCAGUCCCUCUUCAUCACUCCCAACGCCGGGAACCCAGCCGCCGCCAACACAGCCGCAGGCACUGCCGGGGCCCAAGGUGCCUCCCAGGGGGCGCCCGGGUCCGGGGUGGCGGGGAGCGGGGUCCCCACCCAGGCGGCCUUUGAGUACCGGGGCACCUGGAUCCCCCUCAUGAACGUCAGCGUGCAGGGCAGUGCCAAGGCCACCUACCUGGAGAUGCUGGACAAGGUGGAGCCCCCCUCCAUCCCCGAGGGCUACGCCAUGUCGGUGGCCUUCAGCGCGCUGCUGGACCUGGUGCGGGGCAUCACCACCAUGAUCGAGCGGGAGCUGGGCCGGGAGGAGGAGGAGGCCAGCCAGCACCGGGAGGUCCACCCCGACAAGCAGUGGAAGCCCCAGCCCGGCUGCCAAGAAGUGAGGGAGGAGAUGGUCAGCGCCUGCUGGUGCGGCCUGCUGGCGGCCCUGUCCCUCCUGCUGGACGCCAGCACGGACGAGACGGCCACGGAGAACAUCCUGAAGGCGGAGCUGACCAUGGCGUCGCUGUGCGGCCGCCUGGGGCUGGUGACGCCGCGCGACGCCUUCAUCACCGCCAUCUGCAAGGCCUCGCUGCCGCCGCACUACGCCCUCACCGUGCUCAACAGCAACACCUCCAGCCUCUACAGCAAAGCCUACUCCAUCCAGGGCCAGACCGUGCAGAUCAUCAGUCCCUCCAGUGAGUCCCACCAGCAGGUUGUGGCGGUCGGACAGCCCCUCACAGCCCAGCCCCAGGGCACCGUGGUGUUGACUGCUAAGAACAUCCAGUGCAUGCGGACAUUGCUGAACUUGGCCCACUGUCACGGGGCCGUACUGGGCACCUCCUGGCAGCUGGUGCUGGCCACGCUGCAGCACCUGGUGUGGAUCCUGGGCCUGAAGCCUGGUCUCGGGGGGGCUCUGAAGCCCGGGCGGGCCGCCGAAGGACCCAGCACCGUGUUGACCACGGCCGUCAUGACGGACCUGCCCAUCAUCGCCAACGUCCUCUCCAGGCUGUUUGAGAGCUCACAGUACCUGGACGACGUGUCUCUGCACCACCUGAUCAACGCCCUGUGCUCCCUGUCCACGGAGGCCAUGGAGAUGGCCUACGGCAACAACAAGGAGCCCUCGCUGUUUGCGGUGGCUAAGCUGCUGGAGACGGGAUUGGUCAACAUGGAUCGCAUCGAGAUCCUGUGGAGGCCUCUGACCGGUCACCUUCUGGAGGUCUGCCAGCACCCCAACUCCAGGAUGAGGGAAUGGGGGGCGGAGGCUCUAACGGCGCUCAUCAAGGCAGGUCUGGCCUACAAGCACGACCCGCCGCUGACACACAACCAGCGCGUGCAGCUGCUGCUGCUCAGCCCCUUGAAGGAGUUGUCCAACGUGCUGCACGCCGACAUCAGGCAGAAGCAGCUGGAGAGCGUGUUGCAGAUCCUCCAGAGCCAGGGGGACAGCCUGGGGCCCGGCUGGCCCCUGGUCCUCGGGGUCAUAGGGGCCAUCCGCAACGACCAGGGGGAGUCCUUGAUCAGAACAGCCUUCCAGUGCCUCCAGUUGGUGGUGACAGACUUCCUACCCACAAUGCCUUGCACGUGCCUCCAGAUCGUGGUGGACGUGGCCGGCAGCUUCGGCCUGCAGAACCAGGAGCUCAACAUCAGCCUGACGUCCAUCGGGCUGCUGUGGAACAUCUCGGACUACUUCUUCCAACGGGGGGAAGCCAUCACCCUGGACCUGGAGCGGGAGGAGGCGGCGGUGCAGAAGCAGGCCCGGGAGCGCGGCGAGACCCUCAACCGGCCCUUCCACCCGGCGCCGCCCUUCGACUGCCUGUGGCUGUGUCUGUACGCCAAGCUGGGCGAGCUGUGCGUGGACCUGAGGCCCGCCGUGCGCAAGAGCGCCGGCCAGACGCUCUUCUCCACCAUCGCGGCGCACGGCACGCUGCUGCAGCAGGCCACCUGGCACGUGGUGGUAUGGAAGGUGCUGUUCCACCUCUUGGACUGCGUCCGGCGCUCCUCCACCACCGCCGACAAGGAGAAGAUCGAGUCCGGCGGCGGGAACAUACUCAUCCACCACUCACGAGACACGGCGGAGAAGCAGUGGGCGGAGACCUGGGUGCUCACGCUGGCGGGCGUGGCGCGCAUCUUCAACACCAAGAGAUACCUGCUGCAGCAGCUCGGAGACUUCUUCAAGGCCUGGGAGGUUCUGCUGGACCACAUCCAGUCGGCCGCCCUCAGCAAGAACAACGAGGUCUCCCUCGCGGCCCUCAAGAGCUUCCAGGAGAUCCUGCAGAUCGUCACGCCCGUCCGGGACUCGGACCGGCCCAUGGACGCCCUGGCCUCCCUGGGGGUGCCCCCCGUGCUCAUCGACCCCCUCUCCGCCUCCGGCCCGGGCAGACCCCUGGUGCGCUCCGACUCGCUGGUGGAGCGCCUGACGCGCUACAACGGCGCCGAUCCGCAGGCCCCGCCCCCCGGCGAGGAGUCGGCGCUGGAGGACUCGGCGCUGUGGUGGUCGGCGUGGAACACCUGGUUCCGGACGGGCACGGACAGCACGCGGCCCCCGCCCGCCGCCGCCGGCACCGGCACCACCGCCGCCGCCGCCACCGGCCCCCCGGAGAAGCACUCGUUCGUGCCCAGCCAGCCCUUCCUCACGGCCCUGGUGCAGAUCUUCCCGGCGCUCUACCAGCACAUCAAGGCGGGCUUCAGCAUGGACGACCUGCGCAAGCUGGGGGUGAUCCUGCACGGGGCCGUGUCGGUGCCCAUCAGCAGCGACGCCUCGCCCUUCAUCCUGCCCUCCUACACCGAGGCCGUGCUCACCAGCCUGCAGGAGGCCGUGCUCACCGCUCUGGACGUCCUGCAGAAGGCCAUCUGCGUGGGCCCUGAGAGCCUGCAGGUCAUGUACCCGGCUAUCUUCCAGCAGCUCCUGCUCUUCGUGGAGUUCUCCUGCAAGCCGCCCCAGUACGGCAAGAUGGAGACCAAGCACGUGGCCAAUGCCAAAUACAACCAGAUCCAACUGUUCGCUCCGGCGGAAUGGGUGGCCUUAAACUACGUGCCCUUCGCCGAGCGAUCCUUGGAGGUGGUGGUGGACCUCUACCAGAAGACCGCCUGCCACAAGGCCGUCAUCGGCGAGAAGGUUCUGCAGAACAUCGUCAAGACCCUGAGGAUCCCUCUGGGUCUGAAGUACUCCUGCCCGUCGGAGAGCACCUGGCAGCUGGCUGUCUCGUCCCUGCUCAAGGUGCUGUCCAUCGGGCUGCCGGUCGCACGCCAGCACUCCUCCUCCGGGAAGUUUGACACCAUGUGGCCGGAGCUGGCCCACGCCUUCGAAGACUUCCUGUUCACCAAAAGCACCCCUCCGGAUAACUUAUCCAUCCAGGAGUUCCAGAAGAACGAAGCCAUCGACGUAGAGGUAGUGCAGCUGAUCAGCACGGAAGUGCUGCCCUUCGCUAACUUCAUCCCCAAAGACUUUGUGGGCCAGAUCAUGACCAUGCUCAACAAGGGCUCCAUCCACUCACAGUCCUCCUCCUUCACGGAGGCGGAGAUCGACGUGCGGAUGCGGGAGGAGUUCUCCAAGGUGUGCUUCGAGACGCUGCUGCAGUUCUCCUUCAGCAACAAGGUGUCCACCCCCCAGGAGGGCUACAUCUCCCGCAUGGCCCUCUCCGUGCUCCUCAAAAGGUCCCAGGACGUGCUACACCGCUACGUGGAGGACGAGAGGCUCAGCGGCCGCUGCCCCCUGCCCAGGCAACAGGUGACCGAGAUAAUCUUUGUCUUGAAGGCGAUCAGCACUUUGAUGGAUUCACUGAAAAAGACCCAGCCGGAAAACGUGGACGGGGGUAUGUGGGCCCAGGUGAUUGCCCUGUACCCCACCCUGGUGGAGUGCAUCCCCUGCUCCUCGUCAGAGGUGGGCCUGGCCCUGAAGGAGGCCCUCGGGCCCUUUAAAGACUUUAUGCAGCCCCCCGUCUCCAGAAUCCACAACGGGGAGUCCUGACCAGGCUAGCCCAUCUUUUCUACCCCGUGGGCGGGCGCUGGUUGGCGUUUUCUGUUUCCUUUUCUACAACGGAGCAUUCAUGAAUGUCUUUCUUGACCCGAUCCCACACUGGCUCAUCCGCUCUUACACACACCCACACAGGUACACACACACACACACACACACGCGCGCAUACACACACACACGCACGCGCGUACACACACACACACACACACACACACACACACACACACACACACACACACACACACACAGGUAUACACUAAUAUAGGUACACACACAUUCACUCACACACAAACACACUUGUGCACACAAACACACACACACAUACAGAUAUACACACACACACACUCGCGCGUGCACACAUACACACACACGCACGUGCAAACAUACACACACACGCACGUGCAAACAUACACACACACAGGUAUACACACACACACACACACAAACACAGACACAUAAACUACCCACGUCAUGUGGACAGACUCUGAAUCAGAAGUGACCCGCGGUCAUGUCAGACGUGAAGCCUGCUCGUACCGCUCUGACAUCUGAUGACUUGAUCUACUAAAACACAGAGGACCCCGCCUCUCUCACUCCGACGCACACACCGAGGAAAUAAACUCACUCCAGCAAACCCCAGUCAUGGUGACAGAAACAAGAGAAACGCAGUGUGUCCUUUGGAGAAUUGUUUUAUUUUUUCCUAACUGAGGAAACUAUGUACAGUGUGUGGUGUGGUGGUCAUGAUGUAAUUAAAUUAAAACAAAAUUAAUAAUAAUGAUAAUAAUAAUGAUACUUGGGCUUUACUGACUGAACAGACUUUUGCACCAUUUUCAACCAUGUGGGAUUUAUGCAAGAGUAAAAAGCAGUGUUUACUGUCACAUUCCAUGUCGUCAUUGGUCAGCCAUUGGAGGAAGGGAUGUUCUUGUCUGCGUAAAAUAAAUGGGACAGUUCUACAAACAACUCGCCAUGUUUGCUUGAUUGUGAACUAUUGCUCUUUGUUUGGCUGUGAUGUUUUGCAUUCAUAGACACCUCCAUCAAAGUGUUUUUAUUAUUGCAAUUGAUAUUAUCAAUGGAAAAUGCAGUUUAAAAAGAAAUCUCAUGAAUGGAGCAAUUAAUAGUUUGGCAGUGUUCAUUUGCAGAGGGUAUUCACUAAUGGAUUUAACCUAUGGUUGUUUGUAUGAUGAUUUGCAUACCGACGUGUUACAAUAACACUGAUAUUCAUUUCAUCCGAGAAAGAUAAUGAAGGUGAAUCAACAUCCAAACACUGAACAAUAUACAACAUUUCAGUAGUACGGCAUAAUAUUGCAACAUCUUAUUAAAUAAAAUAUAUAUAUAAAUGCAUGCAUUAUUGGAUCUUUUUUACAAUUGGUCUGGAGAAAAAUAUUUGUACCUUUCCCCGUGUAAUCACCACUGAGGUUAGGAUUUAAACUCAGUGGAUUCCAAGUAUUACAGGUAUGCGUACCGCGGAUCUCGUCAUGCAAAAAUAUAAUUCACCAUUGGAUUUUCUACACGCAUAAUUUUCAAGCUGGACAUACGGUAGUGUAACGAAGCCAAAGGCGGGCGUGGAUGCUGUUGUCUUUCAGGUCAUGUGAGGGAAAGGACCGCGGGUUGUCUGGGUGAGCUGGGGAAAACGGUGAGGAGGAGGAGGAGAAAGAGGGAGGUCUGCUUUGGGCGGGGUUUCCUCUCGUCUAGUAUUUCAAGUCUGCUCACUGAAGAAGGGGAAGAAUCUGGUGCAAGGACUUGUGGGAAUGUUGCUGUUCUAUCGGAGCUGAAGCCGAAGUCAUUUUAUGUUGAGGGAAUUUUUUCUUUUUUGUACAUUUCUUGCGUUCUCUCGAUGAUUUUUCUUCGCGUGUCCCGAAUCCUGUGGUGGACCAUGUACUGGCUGAGGUAGUAGUUUGUGCUGUUGGUUGGGUUGAGACACUGCCCGCUAUGGAGAUGACUGCGCAAGCUACUGCCUUGCCAGUGCUGGUGUUGUACUACAACAGAAGAAUGUUAUGCGCGUUUCAGGUAACCCUAGCUCAUAGUAUUCCCGAGGUUUAAAACUCAUCUAUAUGGAAAAAUACAUUUUUUUUUAAUUCGCUUUUUAAUCUGCCUUUUCCUGUACAGUAACGUAUAGAGUCGACCGUUAAACAGCAGCAUUUGUAACUGUACCAUGUGUCAUCAAAUAAAAUUGUUUUUAUUCAUUGGAAAA